rnacentral:rRNA from 1 species
UACAGAGGUCUCAAGCGUUGUUCGGAUUCAUUGGGCGUAAAGGGUGCGUAGGCGGCGCGGUAAGUCGGAUGUGAAAUCUCGGAGCUUAACUCCGAAACUGCAUUCGAUACUGCCGUGCUUGAGGACUGGAGAGGAGACUGGAAUUUACGGUGUAGCGGUGAAAUGCGUAGAUAUCGUAAGGAAGACCAGUGGCGAAGGCGGGUCUCUGGACAGUUCCUGACGCUGAGGCACGAAGGCCAGGGGGAGCGAACGGGG